UACGGAGGAGGCAAGCGUUAUCCGGAAUUAUUGGGCGUAAAGCGUCCGCAGGUGGCACUUCAAGUCUGUCGUCAAAGACUGGGGCUUAACCCUGGAAAGGCGGUGGAAACUGAAGCGCUAGAGUGUGGUAGGGGUAGAGGGAAUUCCCGGUGUAGCGGUGAAAUGCGUAGAGAUCGGGAAGAACAUCGGUGGCGAAAGCGGCUCACUGGAUCUCUUCUGACGCUGAGGCACGAAAGCUAGGGUAGCAAACGGG
rnacentral:rRNA from 1 species